UACGGAGGGUGCGAGCGUUGUCCGGAAUCACUGGGCGUAAAGGGCGCGUAGGUGGCCUGUUGAAGUCUGCGGUGAAAGCCCGGCGCUCAACGCCGGGUCGGCCGUGGAUACUCUCGGGCUUGAGCUUGCUAGAGGCAGAUGGAAUUCCGGGUGUAGCGGUGGAAUGCGUAGAGAUCCGGAAGAACACCGGUGGCGAAGGCGGUCUGCUGGGGUAAUGCUGACACUGAUGCGCGACAGCGUGGGGAGCAAACAGG
rnacentral:rRNA from 1 species